GAAAAUUCUGAUAUAGAUCAACAGGUCAAAAGUUAAAAUGGCAAACAGUUCAAUACAGGGAGAAGCGUCAUCACUCAAGCAAGCUAGUGGCGUUCUUAACUGACUGUUCCUUGGGAGGUUCAACAAAAUCCCGAAAGGAAAACAGGGAGGCGUAUAUCUAGCUUUAAAAACAACAAGUACAUUAUUGUUACAUUAAGCAACGACAUCAAAUUGAUAAUGCCUAAAGUUACUACAAGCUUAGCUAAGGUUUACCAGCAAUUUGAAGUAUAUGAUUCUGGUAAUAUGACGAGCGUAUCUAAAAUCACUUGUAGAUAAGGGCGUCACGACCAGGCCCAAUACCAAUGUAGUGGAUAGGUACCCCAACAAGCUCCUCUAUCCUUUCUACAUACUCGCGUGCAGCCUUGGGCAAGUCAGAAUACUUCCUGAUUGAAGAAAUAUCAGUUUUCCAUCCAGGCAAAACUUCAUACUCCACCUUUAUUUGUUCGAGAAGACUUAGAUCAGAAGGAAAAGAAUUUAAUGUUGAACCAUCAGGAUGCCUGUAAGUAACACCCAACUGAAUUUCUGAUAGAUCUGACAGCACAUCUAGUUUUGUCAGGUUUAGAGAAGCAAAUCCAUUUAUUUGACAGCAGUAUCUUAGUGCAACUAUGUCUAGCCAACCACAGCGACGCGGGCGUCCAGUAGUUGUACCAAACUCCUGCCCAGCAGAACGAAGAAGAUCGCCAUAUUCGCCCAUGAGUUCUGUUGGGAAAGGACCAGAACCAACUCUUGUCGUAUAUGCCUUAACCACACCAACAAGAUCACCGACAACUCUGGGAGCAAUUCCAAGACCUGUGCAGAUUCCACCAGCUGAUGGACUGGAUGAAGUGACAAAAGGGUAUGUCCCAAAAUCGAUAUCCAGCAUAGUUGCCUGACCACCUUCUACCAAAAUCUUCUUUUUCUGAGAUAUAGCAUCAUUCAUGAAGUGCACAGUAUCUGUAACGAAAGGUUCCAACCUCUCAGCAAAUUUCUUAUAGCGUUCCACUUCCUCCCUGAGCAUGUCAGGGCAAUACUUAAAACCUUGGAAUCUUGAAGCGGCAUCUGAUAAUAAAAGAUCAAGCUUUUGGGGGAAUGUGUCCAUAUGCCUUAAAUCACUAACCCUUAUGCCAUUUCGAAUAACCUUGCUUGAAUAGGAAGGCCCAAUGCCUCUCUUGGUGGUACCAAUAAAGGACUUAUCUAGCUCAGCUUCUCUAAGCCCAUCUACUUCUUGGUGAAAAUCAAAUAACAAGUGAGCACGAUCUGAUACCAAAAUCCUUCCUUGACAAGAAACUCCAUUAGAUUCAAGAUUGUCAAUUUCAUUAAAAAGUCCUGGUAGAUGUACCACGACUCCGUUACCAAUAACACAUAAAGUUUCCUCAUUGAGAAUCCCUGAAGGGACAAGGUGCAGAGCAAACUUCUUCCCCUCAGAAUUGUAAAUAGUGUGCCCAGCAUUGGCUCCUCCCUGACAACGAGCAACAAUAUCAAAAUGCUUAGCCAAUAUAUCAACGAGCUUUCCCUUUCCUUCAUCACCCCAUUGACAACCCAGCACGCCUGAUACCUGACUCAGUGACUCAAUUCGACUCAGUCCUGACUCGUUGACCCCUUGACGAUCCACUACUGAGGCAAGCGGAUUUUUCGAACAAACUAUCAUUGAAGAAGCCUUCUUCUUCCUUUGCUGGAACUGAAUGAGCCUACAACUAUUGGUCCCAUUGUAACCGAUGGUCCCACUCCGGUGACUCACCUUCGCCGUCGCUGUAGCUUUCGCCGUUGUGAUUGAGCUGGCAUCAAGCCUCAUGGUUGACAUGUUCAUGGUGGCGGCACCGGGCGGCGUGCGGUUGCGCUGUGCACAGAGAGGAGGAAAAAUGUGUUUUCAGGGUUUAGGUUCAGG
rnacentral:misc_RNA from 1 species